CUUCUGUUCAGUUUUGAACCUGCUCAGCCAUUAAGAGUUUGCAAGUUCAAUUCAGACUUAAAGGCUACAGUGCCUGCAUGCUACUGGGAAAAGAUCAAAGCAUGGAAAGGAACAAACACCUAAGUCAUGUCACGGAGGAAGGACACUUUGCAGGCUUGAACAUCUACUAUGGAUGAAGCCCAUCCCAGACAAGUCAGAGGAGACCAGCUCUGAGCUUGGGAGGUUGCACAGCAGCAGGCUAUUCUCUAACAUGCAGGCAGGCCCCAGACUGAGAUCAGCCAUGCACAUAUUAAGAAAUAAUGUCAAGGUAUUUAUAGUCCUGCUCUAAAUGAAAUAUUUAGGGUUUUGUCUUGGCUUUACUCUUUACUCUUACUACUUAUUUUACAAUCUGUUGUUGUGCCAUAUCUAUUGUGAGCAAAGAGUAUCCUUCUGAUGAUCUAUUGCUAAUAGCUAUGCAUUAAUGAUAAUCAACUAAUAGCUGAAAUUGUAGUUUUUAUCUGUAAAUAUUCAUGCAUCAGCAGGAUAGAAAAUAAUUUAAUAAUUAAUAUGUGAAUGUUUCAAGCAAAGGUAAAUAAUCAUA
rnacentral:lncRNA from 1 species